UACGUAGGGGGCAAGCGUUGUCCGGAUUUAUUGGGCGUAAAGAGCGUGUAGGCGGUCAGGUAGGUCCGUUGUGAAAACUCGAGGCUCAACCUCGAGACGCCGAUGGAAACCAUCUGACUAGAGUCCGGAAGAGGAGAGUGGAAUUCCUGGUGUAGCGGUGAAAUGACGCAGAUAUCAGGAAGAACACCCGUGGCUAAGGCGGCUCUCUAGUACGGUACUGACGCUGAGACGCGAGAGCGUGGGGAGCGAACAGG
rnacentral:rRNA from 1 species